rnacentral:rRNA from 1 species
UGGGGAAUCUUGCGCAAUGCGCGAAAGCGUGACGCAGCAACGCCGCGUGGGGGAAGAAGGCUUUCGGGUUGUAAACCCCUUUCAGUUGGGACGAAGCCUCAUCGGUGAAUAGCCGCGUGGGGUGACGGUACCUUCACAAGAAGCACCGGCUAACUACGUGCCAGCAGCCGCGGUAAUACGUAGGGUGCAAGCGUUGUCCGGAAUUAUUGGGCGUAAAGAGCGUGUAGGCGGCUUGAUAAGUCUGCUGUGAAAGUCCAGGGCUCAACCCUGGAAUGCCGGUGGAUACUGUCAAGCUAGAGUCCGGAAGGGGCGAGUGGAAUUCCUGGUGUAGCGGUGAAAUGCGCAGAUAUCAGGAGGAACACCAAUGGCGAAGGCAGCUCGCUGGGACGUGACUGACGCUGAGACGCGAAAGCGUGGGGAGCAAACAGGAUUAGAUACCCCCGUAGUCC